GAUGAACGCUGGCGGCGUGCCUAAUACAUGCAAGUCGAGCGAACGGACGAGAAGCUUGCUUCUCUGAUGUUAGCGGCUGACGGGUGAGUAACACGUGGAUAACCUACCUAUAAGACUGGGAUAACUUCGGGAAACCGGAUCUAAUACCGGCUAAUAUUUUGAACCGCAUGGUUCAAAAGAGAAAGACGGUCUUGCUGUCACUUAUAGAUGGAUCCGCGCUGCAUUAGCUAGUUGGUAAGGUAACGGCUUACCAAGGCAACGAUGCAUAGCCGACCUGAGAGGGUGAACGGCCACACUGGAACUGAGACACGGUCCAGACUCCUACGGGAGGCAGCAGUAGGGAAUCUUCCGCAAUGGGCGAAAGCCUGACGGAGCAACGCCGCGUGAGUGAUGAAGGUCUUCGGAUCGUAAAACUCUGUUAUUAGGGAAGAACAUAUGUGUAAGUAACUGUGCACAUCUUGACGGUACCUAAUCAGAAAGCCACGGCUAACUUCGUG
rnacentral:rRNA from 1 species